rnacentral:rRNA from 1 species
AUACGUAGGGAGCAAGCGUUGUCCGGAAUUACUGGGCGUAAAGGGCGCGUAGGUGGAUGCUUAAGUCAGAUGUGAAAACUCCGGGCUCAACUUGGAGAUUGCAUUUGAAACUGGGUAUCUUGAGGGUAGGAGAGGAAAGCGGAAUUCCCAGUGUAGCGGUGAAAUGCGUAGAGAUUAGGAAGAACACCAGUGGCGAGGGCGACUUUCUGGACCGUAACUGACGCUGAGGCAUGAAAGCGUGGGUAGC